rnacentral:rRNA from 1 species
GAUGAACGCUGGCGGCGUGCCUCAAACAUGCAAGUCGAGCGGGGCUAUGUAAUAUCGCAAGGUAGAACAUAGCCUAGCGGCGAACGGGUGAGUAACACGUGGGUAACCUGCCUGGAAGACAGGGAUAACGAUUCGAAAGGGUCGCUAAUACCUGAUAAUAUCCUUUCAUCGCAUGGUGAUAGGAAGAAAGGGGAAACCCGCUUUCAGAUGGGCCCGCGUCCCAUCAGCUAGUUGGUAAGGUAAAGGCUUACCAAGGCGACGACGGGUAGCCGGUCUGAGAGGAUGUACGGCCACACUGGAACUGAGACACGGUCCAGACUCCUACGGGGGGCAGCAGUGGGGAAUCUUAGGCAAUGGACGAAAGUCUGACCUAGCGACGCCGCGUGAGGGAAGAAGGCCUUCGGGUUGUAAACCUCUGUCAUGGGGGAAGAAGUAAGUGACGGUACCCCAAGAGGAAGCCCCUGCUAACUACGUG